UCAAGUGAAGAAGCGCAUACGGUGGAUGCCUUGGCAGUCAGAGGCGAUGAAAGACGUGGUAGCCUGCGAAAAGCUUCGGGGAGUCGGCAAACAGACUUUGAUCCGGAGAUGUCUGAAUGGGGGAACCCAGCCAUCAUAAGAUGGUUAUCUUACGCUGAAUACAUAGGCGUAAGAGGCGAACCAGGGGAACUGAAACAUCUAAGUACCCUGAGGAAAAGAAAUCAACCGAGAUUCCCUUAGUAGUGGCGAGCGAACGGGGACUAGCCCUUAAGUGGCUUUGAGAUUAGCGGAACGCUCUGGAAAGUGCGGCCAUAGUGGGUGAUAGCCCUGUACGCGAAAAUCUCUUAGUCAUGAAAUCGAGUAGGACGGAGCACGAGAAACUUUGUCUGAAUAUGGGGGGACCAUCCUCCAAGGCUAAAUACUACUGACUGACCGAUAGUGAACUAGUACCGUGAGGGAAAGGCGAAAAGAACCCCGGAGAGGGGAGUGAAAUAGAUCCUGAAACCGUAUGCGUACAAGCAGUGGGAGCCCACUUUGUUGGGUGACUGCGUACCUUUUGUAUAAUGGGUCAGCGACUUAUUUUCAGUGGCGAGCUUAACCGAAUAGGGGAGGCGUAGCGAAAGCGAGUCUUAAUAGGGCGUCUAGUCGCUGGGAAUAGACCCGAAACCGGGCGAUCUAUCCAUGGGCAGGUUGAAGGUUGGGUAACACUAACUGGAGGACCGAACCGACUACCGUUGAAAAGUUAGCGGAUGACCUGUGGAUCGGAGUGAAAGGCUAAUCAAGCUCGGAGAUAGCUGGUUCUCCUCGAAAGCUAUUUAGGUAGCGCCUCAUGUAUCACUGUAGGGGGUAGAGCACUGUUUCGGCUAGGGGGUCAUCCCGACUUACCAAACCGAUGCAAACUCCGAAUACCUACAAGUGCCGAGCAUGGGAGACACACGGCGGGUGCUAACGUCCGUCGUGAAAAGGGAAACAACCCAGACCGUCAGCUAAGGUCCCAAAGUUAUGGUUAAGUGGGAAACGAUGUGGGAAGGCUUAGACAGCUAGGAGGUUGGCUUAGAAGCAGCCACCCUUUAAAGAAAGCGUAAUAGCUCACUAGUCGAGUCGGCCUGCGCGGAAGAUGUAACGGGGCUCAAACCAUACACCGAAGCUACGGGUAUCACGUAAGUGAUGCGGUAGAGGAGCGUUCUGUAAGCCUGUGAAGGUGAGUUGAGAAGCUUGCUGGAGGUAUCAGAAGUGCGAAUGCUGACAUGAGUAACGACAAUGGGUGUGAAAAACACCCACGCCGAAAGACCAAGGUUUCCUGCGCAACGUUAAUCGACGCAGGGUUAGUCGGUCCCUAAGGCGAGGCUGAAAAGCGUAGUCGAUGGAAAACAGGUUAAUAUUCCUGUACUUCUGGUUAUUGCGAUGGAGGGACGGAGAAGGCUAGGCCAGCUUGGCGUUGGUUGUCCAAGUUUAAGGUGGUAGGCUGGAAUCUUAGGUAAAUCCGGGAUUCUAAGGCCGAGAGCUGAUGACGAGUCGUCUUUUAGACGACGAAGUGGUUGAUGCCAUGCUUCCAAGAAAAGCUUCUAAGCUUCAGGUAACCAGGAACCGUACCCCAAACCGACACAGGUGGUUGGGUAGAGAAUACCAAGGCGCUUGAGAGAACUCGGGUGAAGGAACUAGGCAAAAUGGCACCGUAACUUCGGGAGAAGGUGCGCCGGUGAGGGUGAAGGACUUGCUCCGUAAGCUCAUGCCGGUCGAAGAUACCAGGCCGCUGCGACUGUUUAUUAAAAACACAGCACUCUGCAAACACGAAAGUGGACGUAUAGGGUGUGACGCCUGCCCGGUGCCGGAAGGUUAAUUGAUGGGGUUAGCUAACGCGAAGCUCUUGAUCGAAGCCCCGGUAAACGGCGGCCGUAACUAUAACGGUCCUAAGGUAGCGAAAUUCCUUGUCGGGUAAGUUCCGACCUGCACGAAUGGCGUAACGAUGGCGGCGCUGUCUCCACCCGAGACUCAGUGAAAUUGAAAUCGCUGUGAAGAUGCAGUGUAUCCGCGGCUAGACGGAAAGACCCCGUGAACCUUUACUAUAGCUUUGCACUGGACUUUGAAUUUGCUUGUGUAGGAUAGGUGGGAGGCUUUGAAGCGUGGACGCCAGUCUGCGUGGAGCCAACCUUGAAAUACCACCCUGGCAACUUUGAGGUUCUAACUCAGGUCCGUUAUCCGGAUCGAGGACAGUGUAUGGUGGGUAGUUUGACUGGGGCGGUCUCCUCCUAAAGAGUAACGGAGGAGUACGAAGGUGCGCUCAGACCGGUCGGAAAUCGGUCGUAGAGUAUAAAGGCAAAAGCGCGCUUGACUGCGAGACAGACACGUCGAGCAGGUACGAAAGUAGGUCUUAGUGAUCCGGUGGUUCUGUAUGGAAGGGCCAUCGCUCAACGGAUAAAAGGUACUCCGGGGAUAACAGGCUGAUACCGCCCAAGAGUUCAUAUCGACGGCGGUGUUUGGCACCUCGAUGUCGGCUCAUCACAUCCUGGGGCUGAAGCCGGUCCCAAGGGUAUGGCUGUUCGCCAUUUAAAGUGGUACGCGAGCUGGGUUUAGAACGUCGUGAGACAGUUCGGUCCCUAUCUGCCGUGGACGUUUGAGAUUUGAGAGGGGCUGCUCCUAGUACGAGAGGACCGGAGUGGACGAACCUCUGGUGUUCCGGUUGUCACGCCAGUGGCAUUGCCGGGUAGCUAUGUUCGGAAUAGAUAACCGCUGAAAGCAUCUAAGCGGGAAACUAGCCUCAAGAUGAGAUCUCACUGGAACCUUGAGUUCCCUGAAGGGCCGUCGAAGACUACGACGUUGAUAGGUUGGGUGUGUAAGCGCUGUGAGGCGUUGAGCUAACCAAUACUAAUUGCCCGUGAGGCUUGACCAU
rnacentral:rRNA from 1 species